rnacentral:lncRNA from 1 species
UGCUUGGGGGUCUGCCGCCGCGCCUCCUCCUCGUCCUCGUCCUCCCACACGGGCAUGGAGAUGGAGUAGUGCAGGAUCAGCGUCCACACCAGGCCCAGGAUCAGCUUCAGGUUCCCAUCCACGAUGGCUUUGCUGUCGAUGGACACCAACUUGAUAUUCUCCCUCUCCAAGAAGUCGAGAGCCACCGACACGUUCUCGAGCUGCAUCUGCCGGAACGUGGGCCGGGCGUUGUACCUCCGGCCGAGCUUCUUCUGGCUCAGCACCUCGAGCAGCGCGAUGAGCCUCAGCCCGUCGCCCAGGUCGGUCUGCAGGUUGCCCACUCGUUUCUGCACGCACUUCAGGUGCUCGUUGCACCACCGCGUGAACGUGUUCUGCUGGAUCCGCUUCCACGGAGCGUCGUCCGCCAGGUCCUUCUCGGUCGCCGGCAUCUCGGCCUCGGGCUCGCGCGCCCGCCCCGCCGCGCUCAUGGCGCCUGGAGGAG